UACGUAGGGGCAAGCGUUGUCCGGAAUUACUGGGCGUAAAGAGCGCGCAGGCGGUCGUUCAAGUCGCGUGUGAAAGCCCCCGGCUCAACUGGGGAGGGUCACGCGAUACUGAUCGACUCGAAGGCAGGAGAGGGUAGUGGAAUUCCCGGUGUAGUGGUGAAAUGCGUAGAUAUCGGGAGGAACACCAGUGGCGAAGGCGACUACCUGGCCUGUUUCUUGACGCUGAGGCGCGAAAGCUAGGGGAGCAACGGGG
rnacentral:rRNA from 1 species